rnacentral:rRNA from 1 species
UACGGAGGGUGCAAGCGUUAAUCGGAAUUACUGGGCGUAAAGCGUGCGCAGGCGGUUUGUUAAGUCCGUUGUGAAAGCCCCGAGCUCAACUUGGGAAUUGCAGUGGAUACUGGCAGGCUGGAGUACGGUAGAGGAAGGUGGAAUUCCCGGUGUAGCAGUGAAAUGCGUAGAGAUCGGAAAGAACACCAACGGCGAAAGCACUCUGCUGGGCCGACACUGACACUGAGAGACGAAAGCUAGGGGAGCGAAUGGG